UUGGUUUGUUGCUUUUACAGAAAAAGACACUAUGGACGUAUGGUGCAAUGGUAAAAGAAUGGAGACAGCAGGUGAGUUUGUAGAUGACGGGACUGAAACUCACUUCAGUGUUGGGACCCAUGACUGUUACAUAAAGGCUGUCAGUAGUGGGAAGCGGAAAGAAGGGAUUAUCCAUAGUCUCAUUGUGGAUAAUAGAGAAAUUCCAGAGAUUCUUGAAUGACUUCAUGAUAGUGAAUUUUAAUCUUAAGAGGUAAAGAUCAAGACUUUUAAAUUACUGUGGUAAUUAAAUAUGUUCAUUAUGUACUUUUCAGUACACUUAGUCUGCCAGGUGUUUAUUUUUUAGUUACUUGAAACUGUAAUAUUCCAAGGGUCAAAAAAAAUUAUGUAUAAUCAUAAAAAUUGCAAUUCAUUUUGUAAAUAAUAUAAAAUGUUUUAAAGCCAAAUGGAAAAUAAGAUAUGGACCAAAAUCACUCAUGUUUUACAAGAGGAACUUUUUAAUAAAUACUAUAAAAUAAAA